AUUCAAUACAUCCUUGAUAGGAUUAGAGCAAGGCUUGUGGGAUGGAAGGGCAAGCUAAUGACUAUUGCGGGCAGAAGGGUUUUGGUGCGCAGCGUGCUCACGGCGCUGCCCACCUUCGCUCUGUCCGUGCUCCGGGUGCCAAGAAAAUUUCUUGCUGAGAUUGACAAAGUCCGAAGAAGAUUCCUGUGGGCUCAAGAAGACGAACUCAGCGGUGGAAAAUGC
rnacentral:rRNA from 1 species